rnacentral:lncRNA from 1 species
CCAGGAUUCUCCUGUCUCAGCCUCCCAAGCCACUGUAAGUGGCUCCUGCCAGUGGAGGAGAAAAAAAAAAAAUGACAGUUUUGGGUGUUUCCAGACUAAGAAGGAGUGAAGCAGUAAUUAGAAUCCAGCUUGAAUGGUCUCUAUUUUCUUUGUAAAUGAAGGAAAAAAAACAAACCCUCAAUUCUUAAGGGUCUAGAACAUUUUUUUCCUUGCUCAAAAGAUGAUAAAAGUAGGUUAGUUUACUUAACAAUUCUCCUAGGGAAAUUAUUCUGGUUUAAUACAUUUAUGUGUAAAGUUUUUGCAAAAUGUGUUUACUCUUUUUUUAUUAUAAACCUAAUUCACAGAAAAAUAUAAACUACUGCAAAAUUAUAUAAUGUAAAAAGUGAAGCUGGGCACUGUGGCACAUGCCUUAAUCUUAGGGACUGGAAGACGGAGGCAGGAAGAUCUCAUAUUCAAGGCCAGCCUGGGUAACUUAGUGAGACCAUCUCAAAAUAAAAAUAUUUUAAAAGGCUGGGGAUGUACCUCAGUUGUAGAACAAACACCCUUGGGUUUAAUCCCCAGUACUGCAAAAAGAAACAGACUAGAAAGUCCUUGUAAUCAUCUCAAUUUUGGUGAUAACCUCUGGUAAAAGUCUAGCGAGUGUUCCUCCAGACUUUUUUUUUUUUUUUGGUAUAGGCAAGGGACUAAUUCCAGGACCAUGGUCCCAGGAUACCAGAAUCUGAGAAUACACAAGUCCCUUAUAUAAAAUUGCACCACAUUUGGAUAUAAC